GUCAGAGCUGGGGGUUAGGCCGAGGCAACCUGAGGACCUUCUUCUUGAUCACAGUCCCUUAGUCACCGUCCUGGCUUCUACACUGCUGUGCUGGAAAAGAUCUCAUGCUAGAUCAUCGUGUUGGACAAGUAACUUCCUUUAAUCUUGACCCAUUUCAGGUGUGUGACGAAUAUUAACAGAAAUGAUGAUGAUGAUGACAGUGGCCUUGAAAACGAUGCUGCGAACAAUUCCACUCAGCCGUCUGAGAGACCCGACUGUCGUCUGAGGUACAUGCUAAGGCAACGAGUUCAAAAAUGUGGCUCAGCUCGCGCAGUUCCUGAGGGCCACAGCUGUCUGCACCCUCCGCAGCCCAGCUCAGCGAGACAUCUCUCCAUGUGAACUUAAUGAAUAUCAAGGUUGAGGCAUAACGUGAACGUCUCUGAAGCUCUGUUUCCUACUUGGGUCAGAGGGCAACAUCCAGCAGUUAUAGGCAACAAAUAUUUCACACGAAGAACACGCAUUCCUGGGAAGGCUGUGAGCGCCUUAGACCACAUUGUCCCUGGCAAAGUGUCCAUCAUGUUCAUGAACAUAUUCAGAGAGGACAGUGUCUUUCUCCAGGUGAGCUCAGCCACAGGCUGAGAAGACAGUGGUGCUGCAUAUAUUCUUAAACUCUCUAUCAAACCAACUUAAACCUUGAGUUUUAAGUAAUUGAUUUUGAUUGAGAAAAUCCACAUCCAUAUUGUGUGGUCAAACCAUGAAGUUGGUGAAGGCUUUUUGUGAUUCUGUAACUCACCCUACCUUAGUCUGGGCUCCUUCUAUUAUCUGUACUUACUUUAUGAAAAGGAGAGUAAGCUCAGAAAUUGUAAACUGCAGGUGUAGUAACAAUGGCCACCAGACAAAGCAGCUUUGUUGUCCCAGGAAAACUCUGUAGAUUUCCCCAGUCUUGGGGAGGCACGUUUGAUAAGCCGUGUGUGCAUUUCCAAAGUCACAAACAUAUUCUGCAGAAACAAGAUGUUUUGGAAACAAUUCUAAAUUUCUUAUUUAACCUCAAAAGGUAUUUAGACAUGAUUCGCCUCAACAUGAUGGUCUAACGUGAAAUUAAAACCAUGUAUUUAAAAAUGAAUAGAAAAACCCAUAUGUUGAUAGGACAUUAUAAUGGUUAUCUAUCAUGGUUAGUAUUAAUAAACUAGGUCAUAAAGACCCAUGCCAAAGCCAGAGGUCUAUACCACAUAGUUUUUAUAAUAGUCCCAUCCUAUUCACUCAGCAUUUGAGCAUAUUCCAGGAAACAUACUUUUUCCUAAAAUACAGCUCCAGAGUUCUUUGACUGCUUUGAAGACUGUUUAUAAAUACUGGGUUUUGGUGAUAAAGUUUCUUUUUUUAAGGACCCAGAAAGAGACUCUAACCUACCUACUGACUUUUACCAGCAGAAGAAAAGGAAAUAUAAUUAACCACAUGCAAAGGGGAAACUCAACAGUGCUUUAAACGCAGUGGAACUAAAUUAACUUGAGACGAUGAUGCCAAUGCUAUUUUGAAAAACAGAUUUAGUAGGCAAAUAUUUAUGUUGUUCCUGCUCUUUGUCUGAUGCAGUUUCUACUACAAGUUUGAGAGCAAAUGUUGAUGAGCCUGAUAGAACAGGGUGUCCCUCCUGCUCUGCACAGGCUUUCUUAGGCAUUUGAUUACGUGAUGUGCUCUAGGUCAGCAUCCUUGUUCUUCUGGCCAGUGCCAUCUGAGGACACGUACAUCUGCUUGUUUUAUAUUAGAAAAAUGAGCAUUCCUUUGACCUAUGAGGUCUUAAGAAGAAAAAUAAAGGCGCAUCCUUGGUCUGAGCUGUGUGCAUUCGACUUCCAGUGGGGACAUGAUGCUCACAGGGUGACGGUGCCACUGGGAAGGGUCAAAGCAGCCAUAAUGCCAAGAACGUGGAGCACCAGAGAGCUAAGUUCUGGGCUCCAGUGAGGAGGAGAGUGGUGGCUCGGAGGAUGUGACAGUGAUCAGAUGUCACUGAAGAAGCCAAGAAAGGGGCUGGCUUCCUGGGGAUUUCUGAGAUCCAGAUUCUCAGACAAGAGCUUUGAGGAUGGGGAUGGAGAACUGGCCAUCUCAUCUCUGGUUCUGUCUUCAGCUGCCCUGGCCAGACACGGAUACAGCUUUACUACCACAGAGCAAGAGAGGGGCCCGGCCCAGCCCAGACGCCCACCACUGCACUGCUGUGGACUGUCUCCCCAUGCAUAGAUCACUGAGCCAUGUCCCAAGGCCCAGGCUGGCCCAGCGAACACAUCUGCAACAGCGCUGGGGUCAGGAGGGAGCAGCCCUUCUUUGUAUCUUGGAGGGGAAGAGAAAGGAGCUCAUUGUUAGCUUUCCUUUCAGACAAAAGUCCCUGCACUCAAUUUCCGCAUCAUGGAUAAUCGCUGAAGAACAUGGAAGACAGUGACCUCCUCUGAGGCAGGAAACAGUACCCUCACCACAUCGAGUACAUGGUGUUUAUUAUUUACUAGGAAAAUGGGGGUUUAAGAAUUCAAAUACAUUGGUCAAGGUCCCUCAGUUCAUAGGCAGCAUCUGGGAUUUAGGAAAAUAGUCUUCUGAUGUUAACACUGGCCAAAGUCAGUGUUCUUAACCAGAAGCUAUUUUAACUACCAGCUUUAGAUAAUAUAUAUUAGGAUGAAUUUACCAAGCUCCCAGAAACAGUUCUAGGGAGACAGUGUGGAGGUCAAGAGCAUGGGGGAGGCAGGUUGUAUACUGGCCUCAAUUCUCCACCCUUCCCUAUCUAUACUUUUUCUCUAAUAACUUGUAGUUCCUUCCAUAAAAGGGUGCCAUGUAUUUCCCCACUCCUUGACUCUGGAUUCGGCCAUGUGAUUGUUUUUUGUCCAUGGAAUGGGAAGACAGUGCUGAUGUACCUGGUCCAACACAAGACCAAGGGCUUGUCCAUUUCCACAUACAUGUUUGCACAUCUGUCAUCAUGAUCAGAAGAUGUGCUCUGGCUAGUUCACUGGCACCAGGAAAAGGAUAAGAGUCACGUGGAGGGGAGCCACCUCCUCCUCCAGGGGGAACCACCUCCAACAAUGCAGGAUCAGCUGUACCCUCACCAACCUGCACACACCUGAGAAUAAAUUAUUGCUGUUUUUAGCCAUUUGUUGUGGGGCCAUUUGUUAUGCUGCAUUGUUG